CAAAUCCACAAUAGCCACAGAACUAGGGUUUUUCGGUUCCCAUCUUCAUCUCUCUCUCAGAUCAGCCUAUUCCGUAAACCAAAACACAGAUCAAUCCAAGAUGUUUCCAGGUAUGUUUAUGAAGAAGCCGGACAAGAAGGAGGCCAUAAAGCAGCUCAAGGUCCACGUCGGCCUGUUCGGCACUUGGGUCGUCGCCCUCCGUGUCACUCCUUACCUUCUCCACGCUCUUUACGGCGAGAAGGAGGAGCUCAAGCUCGCCCUUUGAGGGGAAUCACAACAAUCUUUAUCUCAAUUGUCUGAGUCGGUAGAUAAAAUUGCACUAUGGGAUAUGCUCUUCGUGCAAGUAUGGGAGUAGUGGAACUGACUUCAGGGGAAGAUGAAUUGUUCAGAGCAUCAGCCUGGUUUCCUUUUACCUCGUGUCCUGGAAAGUUUAUGAGAACAGUAUUAGGUUAUGUUGCUAUAUCUUUUUGUAUUUUGGGAGAUACUUUACUAUUGUAUGAUGUUUAUUAUACUUAUGCUUGGUCAACUUUAAUGCAAGGGUGAAAUACAAUUUAUAUGAUGCAUGAAUGGUGCCCAUUUAGCUUGA